rnacentral:rRNA from 1 species
UACGUAGGGUGCGAGCGUUAAUCGGAGUUACUGGGCGUAAAGCGUGCGCAGGCGGUCUCGUAAGCCAGAUGUGAAAGCCCCGGGCUCAACCUGGGAAUUGCAUUUGGUACUGCGAGGCUGGAGUGCGGCAGAGGAAGGUGGAAUUCCUGGUGUAGCAGUGAAAUGCGUAGAGAUCAGGAGGAACACCGAUGGCGAAGGCAGCCUUCUGGGCCGACACUGACGCUCAUGCACGAAAGCGUGGGGAGCAAACAGG